UACGAAGGGGGCUAGCGUUGCUCGGAAUUACUGGGCGUAAAGGGCGCGUAGGCGGAUGUUUAAGUCAGUGGUGAAAGCCCAGGGCUCAACCUUGGAACUGCCAUUGAUACUGGAGAGCUUGAGUUCGGGAGAGGUGAGUGGAACUGCGAGUGUAGAGGUGAAAUUCGUAGAUAUUCGCAAGAACACCAGUGGCGAAGGCGGCUCACUGGCCCGAUACUGACGCUGAGGUGCGAAAGCGUGGGGAGCAAACAGG
rnacentral:rRNA from 1 species